GAUGAACGCUGGCGGCGUGCCUAAUACAUGCAAGUCGAGCGAACGGACGAGAAGCUUGCUUCUCUGAUGUUAGCGGCGGACGGGUGAGUAACACGUGGAUAACCUACCUAUAAGACUGGGAUAACUUCGGGAAACCGGAGCUAAUACCGGAUAAUAUUUUGAACCGCAUGGUUCAAAAGUGAAAGACGGUCUUGCUGUCACUUAUAGAUGGAUCCGCGCUGCAUUAGCUAGUUGGUAAGGUAACGGCUUACCAAGGCAACGAUGCAUAGCCGACCUGAGAGGGGGAUCGGCCACACUAGAACUGAGACGCCGUCCAGGCUCCUACGGGAGGCAGCAGUAGGGAAUCUUCCGCAAUGGGCGAAAGCCUGACGGAGCAACGCCGCGUGAGUGAUGAAGGUCUUCGGAUCGUAAAACUCUGUUAUUAGUGAAGAACAUAUGUGUAAGUAACUGUGCACAUCUUGACGGUACCUAAUCAGAAAGCCACGGCUAACUACGUG
rnacentral:rRNA from 1 species